UGCUGUUAAAAAGCUCGUAGUUGGAUCAAGAGCUCGACAGUGCACGGUGGCCCUGUUUAUCGUGGUGGUUCCGAUCACCGCGGUGGCAGCGGAUCAACCCCGUGCGCCAAACUGUCGACUCUAACAGACCGAAACGGUUCCCUGUGAGUAGGAUCCUUCAUUGGGGCUGAAAGCGAUUACGCAUCAACCAUAUGCAUACGGGACGUCGGUCAAAGUUACUGUGAACAAACCAGCGUGUCCAAAACAGGUUUUCGCCUGAAUGUUCGAGCAUGGAAUAACAAGGAAUCGAUUCUCUCGGUUCUUUUUUGUUGGGUUUUAACCCGAGAAGGAGUAAUUCAGGCCACGGUGUCUGAGUUGGGUUCCCCUUCACCUCGGUGGAGGCCCCAAUUAGGCCGUGUCCUUACGGGAUAAAUAGGGACUGACGGGGUCGUACGUACUUCUACGUCAGAGGUGGAAUUCUUAGAUCGUAGAAAGACGAACUUCUGCGAAAGCAUUCGACAAGAAUGUCUUCAUUAAUCAAGAACGAGAGUGUGGGGAUCGAAAGAUGAUCAGAUACCGUCGUGGUCCACUACUGUAAACCAUACCGUCUCAGGAUUGAAAAUUGAACAGAAUGACUUUCACAGCACUAACC
rnacentral:rRNA from 1 species